GUGCUUGCUUCAGCAGCACAUAUACUAAAAUUGGAACAAUACAGAUGUUGGCAUGACUCCUGCCUGAGCAAGAAUGCAUACAAAGCCACGAAGUGUUCCAUAGUAAG
rnacentral:snRNA from 1 species